rnacentral:rRNA from 1 species
CGGACGGGUGAGUAACACGUGGAUAACCUACCUAUAAGACUGGGAUAACUUCGGGAAACCGGAGCUAAUACCGGAUAAUAUAUUGAACCGCAUGGUUCAAUAGUGAAAGACGGUUUUGCUGUCACUUAUAGAUGGAUCCGCGCUGCAUUAGCUAGUUGGUAAGGUAACGGCUUACCAAGGCAACGAUGCGUAGCCGACCUGAGAGGGUGAUCGGCCACACUGGAACUGAGACACGGUCCAGACUCCAACGGGAGGCAGCAGCG